CUUUCGAUUGGUAGGAUAGAGGCCUACCAUGGUGGUAACGGGUAACGGGGUGUUAGGGCACGACACCGGAGAGGGAGCCUGAGAAACGGCUACCACAUCCAAGGAAGGCAGCAGGCGCGCAAAUUACCCAAUCCCGACACGGGGAGGUAGUGACAAUAAAUAACAAUACAGGGUUCUUUUGGAUCUUGUAAUUGGAAUGAGUACAAUUUAAAUCUCUUAACGAGGAACAAUUGGAGGGCAAGUCUGGUGCCAGCAGCCGCGGUAAUUCCAGCUCCAAUAGCGUAUAUUAAAGUUGUUGCAGUUAAAAAGCUCGUAGUUGAAUUUCGGGAUCAAGGAAUCGGUCAUGCCUUGGUAUGUACUGGUUUUAUUGGUUCUCACCUUCUAAAGAACCAUAAUGUCAUUCAUUUGAUGUUAUGGGGAAUUAGGACUGUUACCUUGAAAAAAUUAGAGUGUUUAAAGCAGGCUUACGCUUGAAUACAUUAGCAUGGAAUAAUGAAAUAGGGCAUCAGAUUCUAUUUUGUUGGUUUCUAGGAUCGAUGUAAUGAUUAAUAGGGAUAGUUGGGGGCAUUAGUAUUCAAUUGUCAGAGGUGAAAUUCUUGGAUUUAUUGAAGGCUAACUACUGCGAAAGCAUUUGCCAAGGAUGUUUUCAUUAAUCAAGAACGAAAGUUAGGGGAUCGAAGACGAUCAGAUACCGUCGUAGUCUUAACCAUAAACUAUGCCGACUAGGGAUCGGAUGAUGUUAAUUUUAUAAUGACUCAUUCGGCACCUUACGGGAAACCAAAGUGUUUGGGUUC
rnacentral:rRNA from 1 species